CUUGCCUAAUUUGCAUGCUUCCCAAUUACAUACCUUGAUAUAAACACCAGAAUCCAAGCGUUUAGUUGCAACAAUGGCAGAAAUCUGGAGUAAACGGAGCCCCUUAAUCACCACCAGACGGAUUCUGUCACGCAAACAAAAGAGGACAGCCAGGCUGGGCCGCGGAGCCGGAAGUCUCUGAACUGUUAAAUACAGGAACUCUUGUGCCCACAGUGGGCUGAUGUCCCAUAAGCCCAUCCAUCCUAAGUUGAAAAUGAACCAGUUGAAAAUUCAUCCAAGACUUCUACUGAGCAUCACAUUGGGAGCUGAGGUCUUUACCACCACCUAGCAUCGCAGGAGAGGCCUGGACCACAUGAUGUUAUACAAUUGGCUUUUUCAAGUUCCUGAUACUUCCCCUGCAGGGAUGGACCAUGACCUGGAAUUGUGAGCCAAAUAAACGCUUCUUUCCUUUAA